rnacentral:lncRNA from 1 species
GCCAAUUUCUUUAUGAAUUGCUCUUGAACACAUUCCAUUCAAUUUUUACUUCCAUCACUCCAGUAGACCACCCCUCUCAGGGUACUAAUGACUAAUGUUGAUUAACUAAUGUUAAAUCCCAUGGUCAGUUCUCAAGCCUCAUCUUACUUUGUCUGUCAUCACUAUUGCAGCUGAUUUACUUCUCUGUAUUGAAGCAUGUUUUCUCUCAUUUUCUAGGGAAAUACCUCACGAGGUACUCACCUUUUCUCUUUUCUCUUGCUUUUCUUCAAUUAUUUUUCUACUUUUCCCCCCUUGAUUUCUCUUCCUUUUUCAAGCCUCUAUUUUUAGAAUACAUUUUUUGGUCCAUACCCACUACCUGAUUUUACCCCAUCUCAUCACUCUAACUACCAUAAGUAUAUUAAUAAAUGCCUGAUCUAUAAUCCAAUUAAUGACAGUGAUAUUAUUCCAGUUGCCAAAUCCAGAAGUGUUGAGUGUAUCCUUAACUUUCUGUCAUUGCUUAUAUCCAGUCUUUCAUCGUAUUUAUAAGCACUCCCUUCAGUGUAUCUACAGUUUUUCCAGUUUUUACCAUCCACAGGGCUGCUAACCUGGUCCAGUCACCAUCGUGUCCUAACUAGAUUCUUGUAAUAAACUCCUAAUUGAUCGUCCUGCUUCUACCUUUGCCCGUAGAGUCUUUUCUCUCUAUUAAUAUGUUUAAAUGAGCCAUCUAAUUCUCACAGUCUUCCAGUAGCUUCUAAUCUAACACCUCACUUUCACUCUGACCUAAUUUCUGUUCUUCCCUUUGUUUAUGUUUGCAUCAAACACAUUAGUUUUCUUGGAAAUGCCAGAAACAUCCACUUCUAGGUCUUUACAUAUGAUGUACCUCUGCCUGACAUGCUCCUCCCUAGACAUGCACUUGGCUGUGUCACUCCCUUCCUUCAGGUUCUUACUCACCUUUGGGAUAUCCACCAAUCACCAUCUCUCCCUCCUGACAUUUCAUAUCUGCUUCCUUUCCUCUAUCCCUAGCUUUUCAAGAGCUUUUAUUACUAAGAUAUUUUUUCCUGUGUGUGUUGUUGAUUUGUCUCCCAAUUCAAAUUAUUUUUGUUGUUUUAUUUAUUUGCAAGUUUUAUUUGGUUCACUACAGGGGAUAGAACCAACUAACCUGGCUCUAGAGUAUGUUAAAAAAGAUUUUGUAAAAUGAUAAAUCAGAUUUUGAUUAUUCCAUAACUGUGUUCUCCAGAUUUUUUCCUAAAAGAGCAAUGAUUUUGUAAAAAUACUUUGAGAGAAAAAUAUUUCCUCACUAAAAAAUAUCCCUUCUAUUUAAGAUUCUCACAUUCAUAUUUUAAAGACUCAGUAAUUUGGUGAGAGACAGCAGAGUGUCACAUUAAGGAACAUAAGCACAGGAGUUCUACUGUUUGGUUUCCAAUCCUAGUCCCCACUGCAUAAUAACAGUAUUGUUUGGGGCACACUGUUUAACAUUUUUCCUCUGUUCUCCCAUCUUUAAUUUGGGGUUACAAUAGUACUUUAAAGGGGUGUUUUGAAGAUAAGUUAAUUCCAUAAAGUGCUUCGAACAAUAUUUGAAGCAUAAUGAGUGGUUAUUUUUUUUUAAUAAAUUAGUUUAUCUUUGUUGUAACCAAUAUUUAUUUGUUAAUACAACCUUUCUUCUACCAAACUAUACACAUACAUAAUUAAUAUUUGGUAAUACUGUUUUGUGGAAUACACUGAAAAAUAAUUAUUCUGACUCUUCUAAGGAUCUCCUUUGGAAUUGAAAUCAUUAUUUGCCUAUCAAAUCCAAAAGAAAUGAUAAAAUACAGUUCUUAUGAUUCUUUGGUGAGCAGUCAAACACUCUGGAGGAGUCAUAUGAAAUAAGAACUUUGUGUGUGAACCGUGGUGCUGGGUAUUGAACCCAGGGCCUUGUGCAUGCAAUGCAAGCACUCUACCAACUGAACUAUACUCCCAGCCAAAAAUAAGAACUUUUUUAAUGUUAGCAUUUUCUGUUAACUAUAUUAAAAUCAGGCAUACUUUAAAUCCUGGGAACACAGUACCACACUUGUUCUCUUUGGUGUCUGGUCUUUGCUUUCCUUGUAUAAUCCUCACAUUUAAUGACAGAAUUUCCUGUGUCCAUAAGGCUCUAAAUUGUUUUAAAGUUUU